rnacentral:misc_RNA from 1 species
UUUUCAUAAUCAACAAGAGUAUCCUUCAUUGAAGCCUUGUAGUCUCAGUCAACUAGAAGUUUCAGUUGGCAACACUGUCCCUAUGCUUGGAUGUCAUUAUAGACAACCAGCAGCUUUGCCUCGUCAAAGUUCACAGAUCAAACGACGGUGGUCCAAAUCUAGGAUUAAAAUAUGACCGGCCUGCUCCUGAAAGGGGACAGACUGUGCGUUCCGUAGGUGAACCUGCGGAAGGAUCAUCACAGAGUUCAUGCCCUACCGGGUAGAUCUCCCACCCUAUGUUAUUAUUACUUUGUUGCUUUGGCGGGCCGUUAGGCUCCGGCCCGACUACCGGCCCCGGCUGGUAAGCGCCCGCCAGAGGACCCAAAACCCUGAAUAUUAGUGUCGUCUGAGUACUAUAUAAUAGUUAAAACUUUCAACAACGGAUCUCUUGGUUCUG